GACUAUUACAACAUCAUAUUAUUUUAUUUUUUAUCCGAGCACUAAUAAAUACAUAAUAUUUCGGCACACGUUAAUAUCUAAUUAAUUGAAAGGGGGGCCUUUUUAUUUAAAUUUGGAACCCAAAUCAACCAAAUGCUUCGGACCAGCCUAUAAGAAAUCGUCCUACACAUGUUAGCCCAAUUUCCCCGAAAGCAACCAGCCCACUAAGAUGCCAACCCGGCCCAGAAGCCUUAAUUUCCCCAAAACAGCCAUUUUCUUCAUAUGCAACGGAACCAAACGAACCCCAAGGCUAGAAUCCAUCUUCAAUCAGAGCAUAACCCAGCUGUUUUUUGGCCAUUUUUAGCCAAAUCUCAGAGGCUUUUCGCGUCCUCAGUCGAUGCCUCAUCUUUUCCGGGCAAAAGAGUUAUCUUGUUUGUCUCCAACGGUAACAUACGCUCCACUUCCAGAAAGGGUUUUCCCAUUUUUGCUCGAUGACAUGCGACAAUCUUCAAAGCCAUAAAUGGUCGAGCAUUUUCGGGUAAGAAUCCAAGUCAAACCACGUGAAAAUUUGUUCAGGUUUGAACGAUUCCAUUUUUGACCCGUUUUCAAAACCCUAGAUGAACCAAAGAUCCCGCCCAAUUUUCAAUUAUUCAAACCUUAGCAAACCCUAAUCCUUUCCUAUAAAUAUUGGCUUCUCAACCAGUUGAGGAGAGGGGGGAGCCGCCGGAAAAUUCCCUAAAAUUAGAAGUUUUUAGUCGCCUGAAAUCCCUUUAAAAAAUAAGCUUUUAGCCGCACAACAUUCCCCUAAAAUAUUAGCCCACUUUUUUAAAAAAAUAUUCGAAGCGUCGAAUCAUCUCUUUUUAUUCUCAUUUUUUGCUCCGGUUACUGUUUCGCAUCCGAGUCUACGCAAACUCAGAGAUUCGAAGUGUUCGAGGUAUAUCGGAAGCUCGAGCCCCACUUCGCUGCACCCGAAGCAGCAAAAUAUUUCAAUGUGCAGCACAAACCAUCUAGGAACUCCAGAUGAUUUUAAGCAGUCUUCAAAUCAUGCUCUUUUUGAAACCAAACGCUCACCAAAAAAGAGUCCAAUAUAAUCUGAAGCAAACGAUAUUUUGUGUCAGCAAACUGGAGCUUCAAACUCAAAAGGCUGAAGAAAUUAAGAAUAACCUGGUUCAAAUGUGCCGCUAUGCAUGGAAGAACCAGUAAACCAGAUUCACCAAGAGCACCACCAAGCUGUUCCACUACUGCUACCAUUACAGGCAGAGUUUUCUUGUAACAAAAUGAAGGAAAUUAGGGCGUUUUGAUUAUGUCAUGGAAAAAAAAACAAAAAAAAAAAAGAACAUGGAAUCAGGUUUCUCAUUCUGCAUCAACAUUUCUAGACUCAUGCACUUUGAAAUAGCGCUAGAUGAGCAGAAAGAUAAGAUGUAGUUUACCUGGCUCGCAACAAGUAAAAGAGCACUAGUAUUUUGCUUCUUUGAAAAA